rnacentral:rRNA from 1 species
UACGUAGGGUGCAAGCGUUGUCCGGAAUUAUUGGGCGUAAAGGGCUCGUAGGCGGUUUGUCGCGUCGGGAGUGAAAUCCACUGGCUUAACUGGUGGCUUGCUUUCGAUACGGGCAGACUGGAGGUAUGCAGGGGAGAACGGAAUUCCUGGUGUAGCGGUGAAAUGCGCAGAUAUCAGGAGGAACACCGGUGGCGAAGGCGGUUCUCUGGGCAUGGCCUGACGCUGAGGAGCGAAAGUGUGGGGAGCGAACAGG